rnacentral:rRNA from 1 species
UACGGAGGGUGCAAGCGUUAUCCGGAUUCACUGGGUUUAAAGGGUGCGUAGGAGGGCAGGUAAGUCAGUGGUGAAAUCCUGGGGCUUAACCCCAGAACUGCCGUUGAUACUAUCUGUCUUGAAUAUUGUGGAGGUGAGCGGAAUAUGUCAUGUAGCGGUGAAAUGCUUAGAUAUGACAUAGAACACCAAUUGCGAAGGCAGCUCGCUACACAUAUAUUGACUCUGAGGCACGAAAGCGUGGGGAUCAAACAGG